rnacentral:misc_RNA from 1 species
AGAGUUAAACAGUACGUGAAAUUGUUGAAAGGGAAACGAUUGAAGUCAGUCAUGCUAGUAGGAAAUCAACGUGGUGUUCUUCUCCCCGUGUACUUUCUUGCUUGGCAGGUUAGCAUCAAUUUUAGUUGUCAUCAAAGAAUUGGGGGAAUGUGGCUUCUUUUCGGAGAAGUGUUAUAGACCUUGAUAGAUGUGACGACUGGAAUUGAGGAUUGCAGCGGAUGCCUUUGGCUAGUCACCUGUCUUCUGACGGUCACCUCGCUUUCAACAGCUUGCUGAUGAUUGUGGGAUUUGGCAGUCUAGAAGGUAUAAUGAUCAUAAAUUCGUUAAGGAUGCUGACGUAAUGGCUUUAAACAA